rnacentral:rRNA from 1 species
GACGAACGCUGGCGGCGUGCCUAAUACAUGCAAGUAGAACGCUGAAGGAGGAGCUUGCUCUUCUGGAUGAGUUGCGAACGGGUGAGUAACGCGUAGGUAACCUGCCUGGUAGCGGGGGAUAACUAUUGGAAACGAUAGCUAAUACCGCAUAAGAGUAGAUGUUGCAUGACAUUUACUUAAAAGGUGCAAUUGCAUCACUACCAGAUGGACCUGCGUUGUAUUAGCUAGUUGGUGGGGUAACGGCUUACCAAGGCGACGAUACAUAGCCGACCUGAGAGGGUGAUCGGCCACACUGGGACUGAGACACGGCCCAGACUCCUACGGGAGGCAGCAGUAGGGAAUCUUCGGCAAUGGACGGAAGUCUGACCGAGCAACGCCGCGUGAGUGAAGAAGGGUUUCGGAUCGUAAAGCUCGGUUGUAAGAGAAGAACGAGUGUGAGAGUGGAAAGUUCACACUGUGACGGUAUCUUACCAGAAAGGGACGGCUAACUACGUG